rnacentral:rRNA from 1 species
GAUGAACGCUAGCGGCAGGCUUAACACAUGCAAGUCGAGGGGUAACAGGGGUAGCAAUACCUGCUGACGACCGGCAAACGGGUGCGGAACACGUACAGAAUCUACCUUGAUCUGGGGCAUAGCCCGGAGAAAUCCGGAUUAACUCCCCAUAACAUAAGAGAGUGGCAUCACUCAUUUAUUAAAAAUUUAUUGGAUCGAGAUGACUGUGCGUCCCAUUAGCUAGUUGGAGGGUAACGGCCUACCAAGGCGACGAUGGGUAGCUGGUGUGAGAGCACGACCAGCCACACGGGCACUGAGACACGGGCCCGACUCCUACGGGGAGGCAGCAGUGAGGAAUAUUGGUCAAUGGACGCAAGUCUGAACCAGCCAUGCCGCGUGAAGGAUGAAGGCCUUCUGGGUUGUAAACUUCUUUUACCUGGGAAGAAACCUCUAGUUUUCUAACUGAGUUGACGGUACCAGAGGAAUAAGCACCGGCUAACUCCGUGCCAGC